rnacentral:rRNA from 1 species
CAGCAGCCGCGGGAAUACGAAGGGGGCUAGCGUUGUUCGGAAUUACUGGGCGUAAAGGGCGCGUAGGCGGCCAUUCAAGUUAGAUGUGAAAGCCCUGGGCUCAACCUAAGAAUUGCAUUUGAUACUGUUUGGCUUGAGUUCGGGAGAGGUGAGUGGAAUUCCCAGUGUAGAGGUGAAAUUCGUAGAUAUUGGGAAGAACACCAGUGGCGAAGGCGGCUCACUGGACCGACACUGACGCUGAGGCGCGAAAGCGUGGGGAGCAAACAGGAUUAGAUACCCGUGUAGUCCCUGUCUCUUAUAC